rnacentral:rRNA from 1 species
UACGGAGGGUGCAAGCGUUAAUCGGAAUUACUGGGCGUAAAGCGUGCGUAGGUGGUUUGUUAAGUUAGAUGUGAAAUCCCUGGGCUCAACCUAGGAACUGCAUUUAAAACUGGCAAACUAGAGUAUGGUAGAGGAAAGUGGAAUUUCUGGUGUAGCGGUGAAAUGCGUAGAUAUCAGAAGGAACAUCAACGGCGAAGGCAGCUUACUGGACGACAACUGACGCUGAGGCACGAAAGCGUGGGUAGCGAAAGGG